UACAGAGGGUGCUAGCGUUGUUCGGAAUCAUUGGGCGUAAAGGGCGUGUAGGCGGUUUGUUAAGUCAUGUGUGAAAUCCCUCGGCUCAACCGGGGAACGACGCAUGAAACUGGCAAGCUAGAGUACCAAAGAGGGGGGUGGAAUUCCCGGUGUAGCGGUGAAAUGCGUAGAUAUCUGGAGGAACACCGGUGGCGAAGGCGGCAUCCUGGACCGGCAUUGACGCUGAGGCGCGAAAGCCAGGGGAGCAAACGGG
rnacentral:rRNA from 1 species